rnacentral:rRNA from 1 species
GUGAAAGUUUCCAAGGGCGCAUGGUGGAUGCCUUGGCAACAGGAGCCGAAGAAGGACGUGGGAAUCUGCGAUAAGCCUGGUGGAGUCGAUAACCGGACGUUGAGACCAGGAUUUCCGAAUGGGGAAACCCCGCACGACGUGUCGUGUGACCCCCGGUUGAACACAUAGACCGGGUGGAGGGAACGUGGGGAAGUGAAACAUCUCAGUACCCACAGGAAGAGAAAACAAAAGUGAUUCCGUUAGUAGUGGCGAGCGAACGCGGAUGGGGCUAAACCGUAUGUGUGUGAUACCCGGCAGGGGUUGCAUGUGCGGUGUUGUGGGCCCCUCCUUGUCAUGUCUGCCGGCAUGGCGCAGUGAGGUGCGGGCAUAUAGACGAACCAGUGUGGAUGCUGGACCGUAGAGGGUGAGAGUCCCGUAGUCGAAAUGUGUUCCGCCGCUGUUGGGGGGUUGCCCGAGUAGCACGGGGCCCGAGGAAUCCCGUGUGAAUCUGCCAGGACCACCUGGUAAGCCUGAAUACUACCUGUUGACCGAUAGCGGAUCAGUACCGUGAGGGAAUGGUGAAAAGUACCCCGGGAGGGGAGUGAAAUAGUACCUGAAACCAUGUGCCUACAAACCGUUGGAGCCUCCUUGUGGGGUGACAGCGUGCCUUUUGAAGAAUGAGCCUGCGAGUUAGUGAUACGUGGCGAGGUUAACCCGUGUGGGGAAGCCGUAGCGAAAGCGAGUCUGAAUAGGGCGAUUGAGUCGCGUGUCCUAGACCCGAAGCGGAGUGAUCUACCCAUGGCCAGGUUGAAGCGCGUGUAAGAGCGCGUGGAGGACCGAACCCACUUCAGUUGAAAAUGGAGGGGAUGAGCUGUGGGUAGGGGUGAAAGGCCAAUCAAACUCCGUGAUAGCUGGUUCUCCCCGAAAUGCAUUUAGGUGCAGCGUCACGUGUUUCUUCCCGGAGGUAGAGCUACUGGAUGGACGAUGGGCCCUACAAGGUUACUGACUUCAGCCAAACUCCGAAUGCCGGGAAGUGAGAGCGUGGCAGUGAGACUGUGGGGGAUAAGCUUCAUAGUCGAGAGGGAAACAGCCCAGACCACCGGUUAAGGCCCCUAAGCGUGUGCUAAGUGGGAAAGGAUGUGGAGUUGCUGAGACAACCAGGAGGUUGGCUUAGAAGCAGCCACCCUUGAAAGAGUGCGUAAUAGCUCACUGGUCAAGUGAUUCCGCGCCGACAAUGUAGCGGGGCUCAAGUACACCGCCGAAACCGUGGCAUUCAGUUUUGCUGGAUGGGUAGGGGAGCGUCGUUCACGAGGUGAAGCCAGCGGGUAACUUCUGGUGGAUUGUGGACGAGUGAGAAUGCAGGCAUGAGUAGCGAAAGACGGGUGAGAAACCCGUCCGCCGGAUGACUAAGGGUUCCAGGGUCAAGCUAAUCUGCCCUGGGUAAGUCGGGACCUAAGGCGAGGCCGACAGGCGUAGUCGAUGGACAACGGGUUGAUAUUCCCGUACCAGUGAAGAACCGUCCAUGUUGAGCCGGUGAUACUAACCGCCCGAACCAUCCCGAACCCCGUCUUUGACGGGGUCGGUGAUGGGGAGCGCGGGACCUGAACCGGGGAGGCAAGCGCAUUAACAGGUGUGACGCAGGAAGGUAGCCGGGCCGGG